GUCUACGGCCAUACCACCUUGAACAUGCCAGAUCUCGUCUGAUCUUGGAAGCUAAGCAGGGGCAGGCCUGGUUAGUCCUUGGAUGGGAGAAAAGAGAGUACCCGAAUUUCACGCAGAAAGUCAGUGGCAGAGCUC
rnacentral:rRNA from 1 species